GACGAACGCUGGCGGCGUGCUUAACACAUGCAAGUCGAGCGGUAAGGCCCUUUCGGGGGUACACGAGCGGCGAACGGGUGAGUAACACGUGGGUGACCUGCCCUCAGCUCUGGGAUAAGCCUGGGAAACCGGGUCUAAUACCGGAUAUGACUCCAUGACGCAUGUUGUGGGGUGGAAAGCCUUGUGCGGCUGAGGAUGGGCCCGCGGCCUAUCAGUCUU
rnacentral:rRNA from 1 species